rnacentral:rRNA from 1 species
GAUGAACGCUAGCGGCAGGCUUAAUACAUGCAAGUCGAGGGGCAUCGCAGUGUAGCAAUACAUGGGCGGCGACCGGCAAACGGGUGCGGAACACGUACACAACCUUCCUACAAGUGGGGGAUAGCCCAGAGAAAUUUGGAUUAAUACCCCGUAACAUAACGAUGUGGCAUCACAUUGUUAUUAUAGCUACGGCGCUUGUUGAUGGGUGUGCGGCUGAUUAGGUAGUUGGCGGGGUAACGGCCCACCAAGCCUUCGAUCAGUAGCUGAUGUGAGAGCAUGAUCAGCCACACGGGAACUGAGACACGGGCCCGACUCCUACGGGAGGCAGCAGUAAGGAAUAUUGGUCAAUGGACGCAAGUCUGAACCAGCCAUGCCGCGUGAAGGAUUAAGGUCCUCUGGAUUGUAAACUUCUUUUAUAUGGGACGAAAAAAGGGUAUUCUUACCCGUCUGACGGUACCAUAUGAAUAAGCACCGGCUAACUCCGUGCCAGCAGCCGCGGUAAAAC